AUUGAACUGUUGGCGGCAGGCCUAACACAUGCAAGUCGAGCGGUAGCACAGAGAGCUUGCUCUCGGGUGACGAGCGGCGGACGGGUGAGUAAUGUCUGGGAAACUGCCUGAUGGAGGGGGAUAACUACUGGAAACGGUAGCUAAUACCGCAUAACGUCGCAAGACCAAAGUGGGGGACCUUCGGGCCUCAUGCCAUCAGAUGUGCCCAGAUGGGAUUAGCUAGUAGGUGGGGUAAUGGCUCACCUAGGCGACGAUCCCUAGCUGGUCUGAGAGGAUGACCAGCCACACUGGAACUGAGACACGGUCCAGACUCCUACGGGAGGCAGCAGUGGGGAAUAUUGCACAAUGGGCGCAAGCCUGAUGCAGCCAUGCCGCGUGUGUGAAGAAGGCCUUCGGGUUGUAAAGCACUUUCAGCGGGGAGGAAGGCGAUAAGGUUAAUAACCUUGUCGAUUGACGUUACCCGCAGAAGAAGCACCGGCUAACUCCGUGCCAGCAGCCGCGGUAAUACGGAGGGUGCAAGCGUUAAUCGGAAUUACUGGGCGUAAAGCGCACGCAGGCGGUCUGUCAAGUCGGAUGUGAAAUCCCCGGGCUCAACCUGGGAACUGCAUUCGAAACUGGCAGGCUGGAGUCUUGUAGAGGGGGGUGGAAUUCCAGGUGUAGCGGUGAAAUGCGUAGAGAUCUGGAGGAAUACCGGUGGCGAAGGCGGCCCCCUGGACAAAGACUGACGCUCAGGUGCGAAAGCGUGGGGAGCAAACAGGAUUAGAUACCCUGGUAGUCCACGCCGUAAACGAUGUCGAUUUGGAGGUUGUGCCCUUGAGGCGUGGCUUCCGGAGCUAACGCGUUAAAUCGACCGCCUGGGGAGUACGGCCGCAAGGUUAAAACUCAAAUGAAUUGACGGGGGCCCGCACAAGCGGUGGAGCAUGUGGUUUAAUUCGAUGCAACGCGAAGAACCUUACCUGGUCUUGACAUCCACAGAACUUUCCAGAGAUGGAUUGGUGCCUUCGGGAACUGUGAGACAGGUGCUGCAUGGCUGUCGUCAGCUCGUGUUGUGAAAUGUUGGGUUAAGUCCCGCAACGAGCGCAACCCUUAUCCUUUGUUGCCAGCGGUUAGGCCGGGAACUCAAAGGAGACUGCCAGUGAUAAACUGGAGGAAGGUGGGGAUGACGUCAAGUCAUCAUGGCCCUUACGACCAGGGCUACACACGUGCUACAAUGGCAUAUACAAAGAGAAGCGACCUCGCGAGAGCAAGCGGACCUCAUAAAGUAUGUCGUAGUCCGGAUUGGAGUCUGCAACUCGACUCCAUGAAGUCGGAAUCGCUAGUAAUCGUAGAUCAGAAUGCUACGGUGAAUACGUUCCCGGGCCU
rnacentral:rRNA from 1 species